rnacentral:rRNA from 1 species
AAUGAACGUUGGCGGCGUGGAUUAGGCAUGCAAGUCGUGCGGUAGGAGUUUGGUGCUUGCAUUGAACUCCGAGAGCGGCGCAAGGGUGAGUAACGCGUAGUUACCUGCCUCAGGGUCUGGGAUAGCCUCGGGAAACUGAGGGUAAUACCGGAUAAUAUCUGCGGAUCAAAGGUGUGAUUCCGCCCUGAGAGGGGACUGCGUCCUACUAGCUUGUUGGUGGGGUAAUGGCCUACCAAGGCGACGAUGGGUAGUGGGCGUGAGAGCGUGGCCCACCACACUGGGACUGAGACACUGCCCAGACACCUACGGGUGGCUG